GAUGAACGCUAGCUACAGGCUUAACACAUGCAAGUCGAGGGGCAGCAUGAACUUAGCUUGCUAAGUUUGAUGGCGACCGGCGCACGGGUGAGUAACACGUAUCCAACCUUCCGUUUACUCAGGGAUAGCCUUUCGAAAGAAAGAUUAAUACCUGAUAGUAUGGUGAGAUUGCAUGAUAGCACCAUUAAAGAUUUAUUGGUAAACGAUGGGGAUGCGUUCCAUUAGGUAGUAGGCGGGGUAACGGCCCACCUAGCCGACGAUGGAUAGGGGUUCUGAGAGGAAGGUCCCCCACAUUGGAACUGAGACACGGUCCAAACUCCUACGGGAGGCAGCAGUGAGGAAUAUUGGUCAAUGGGCGAGAGCCUGAACCAGCCAAGUAGCGUGAAAGGAUGAAGGUCCUACGGAUUGUAAACUUCUUUUAUACGGGAAUAAAGUAUCCUAACGUGUAGGAUUUUGUAUGUACCGUAUGAAUAAGCAUCGGCUAAACUCCGUG
rnacentral:rRNA from 1 species